UACGUAGGGUGCGAGCGUUAAUCGGAAUUACUGGGCGUAAAGCGUGCGCAGGCGGUUCGUUGUGUCUGAUGUGAAAGCCCCGGGCUUAACCUGGGAAUGGCAUUGGAAACUGGCGAGCUGGAGUGUGGCAGAGGGGGGUGGAAUUCCGCGUGUAGCAGUGAAAUGCGUAGAGAUGCGGAGGAACACCGAUGGCGAAGGCAGCCCCCUGGGCUGACACUGACGCUCAGGCACGAAAGCGUGGGGAGCAAACAGG
rnacentral:rRNA from 1 species